rnacentral:lncRNA from 1 species
UUCGAUACUAUGGGCAUAUAGGACUUCGCACAAGACAGCAACUGGUGAAAUGCCAUUCAUGCUUGCUUUCGGACUUGAGGCUACCAUUCCAAUCGAGGUUAGCCUCCCCACAAUAAGAAAGCUCAAGACAAAUAAAGAGACGCAAACUACCGAGCACCUCGACUUACUUGAAGAGGUAAGGGAGCAAGCUUCCCUUAGGACUACAAGUUACCAAAACAGAACGGCAA